rnacentral:rRNA from 1 species
GCUAAACAUAUUACCGAAGCUGUGGAUUGUCCGUAGGACAAUGGUAGGAGAGCGUUCUAAGGGCGUUGAAGCAUGAUCGCAAGGACAUGUGGAGCGCUUAGAAGUGAGAAUGCCGGUGUGAGUAGCGAAAGACGGGUGAGAAUCCCGUCCACCGAUUGACUAAGGUUUCCAGAGGAAGGCUCGUCCGCUCUGGGUUAGUCGGGUCCUAAGCUGAGGCCGACAGGCGUAGGCGAUGGAUAACAGGUUGAUAUUCCUGUACCACCUAGCAUCGUUUUAAUCGAUGGGGGGACGCAGUAGGAUAGGCGAAGCGUACGAUUGGAUUGUACGUCUAAGCAGUGAGAUUGAGUGUUAGGCAAAUCCGGCACUCUUAAGAUUGAGCUGUGAUGGGGAGAGGAAAUUGUUUCCUCGAGUCGUUGAUUUCACACUGCCGAGAAAAGCCUCUAGAUAGAUAAUAGGUGCCCGUACCGCAAACCGACACAGGUAGUCAAGAUGAGAAUUCUAAGGUGAGCGAGCGAACUCUCGUUAAGGAACUCGGCAAAAUGACCCCGUAACUUCGGGAGAAGGGGUGCUCUUUAGGGUGCAAGCCCAGAAGAGCCGCAGUGAAUAGGCCCAAGCGACUGUUUAUCAAAAACACAGGUCUCUGCUAAACCGUAAGGUGAUGUAUAGGGGCUGACGCCUGCCCGGUGCUGGAAGGUUAAGAGGAGUAGUUAGCUUCUGCGAAGCUACGAAUCGAAGCCCCAGUAAACGGCGGCCGUAACUAUAACGGUCCUAAGGUAGCGAAAU